rnacentral:RNase_P_RNA from 1 species
AAAGAUAAUCGCGGCAGCGUAAGCUGAUGAGGAAAGUCCGAGCUCCACAGGGCAGGAUGCUGGAUAACGUCCAGUGAGGGUGACCUCAAGGAAAGUGCCACAGAAAACAAACCGCCGGCUUGCCGGUAAGGAUGAAACGGUGCGGUAAGAGCGCACCAGCGGCCAAGUGAUUGGUCGGCUUGGUAAACCCCAUUCGGAGCAAGACCUAAUAGGGAAGGGAUGAAGCGGCCCGCUGAUCCUUCCGGGUUGUGUCGCUUGAGUCUGCAGGUAACUGCAGAACUAGAUAAAUGAUUAUCGUAACAGAACUCGGCUUAUUGAUCGC